rnacentral:rRNA from 1 species
CCUACGGGAGGCAGCAGUAGGGAAUAUUGGGCAAUGGAGGCAACUCUGACCCAGCCAUGCCGCGUGCAGGAAGACGGUCCUCUGGAUUGUAAACUGCUUUUGAAUGGGAAGAAUGUGCUCCUUGCGAGGGGUAAUGACGGUACCAUUAGAAUAAGCCACGGCUAACUACGUGCCAGCAGCCGCGGUAAUACGUAGGUGGCGAGCGUUAUCCGGAUUUAUUGGGUUUAAAGGGUGCGUAGGCGGCUUAAUAAGUCGGUGGUUAAAAGUAGCAGCUUAACUGUUUUACAUGCCAUCGAUACUGUUGAGCUUGAGAUAUUUGGAGGCAGCUAGAAUUUCCGGUGUAGCGGUGAAAUGCAUAGAUACCGGAAGGAAUACCAAUUGCGAAGGCAGGUUGCUACGAAUAAACUGACGCUGAUGCACGAAAGCGUGGGGAUCAAACAGGAUUAGAUACCCUGGUAGUCCACGCCGUAAACGAUGAUUACUAGUUGUUGGGGUUUAAGCCUCAGUGACCAAGGGAAACCGAUAAGUAAUCCACCGACGGAGUACGCGCGACGAGAACGACAANAGAGUAGACGCGUGAGACGUGCGACGACGACGACGAGGGAGAGG